AAGACUAUAGACCUGCGGAGUACCUGCGGAGGGAUCAUUACUGGGUUAUGCCAGGGGUAACUGGGCGUUUCUAAAAAACAACCUUACCCCUUGGCAGCCAUGAUCAACCACUUGUGCACGCAUAGACUUUUUAACGGGCUUUGGCGGAUGUAAAAGUCUGCCAAAGUUUUCGUUUAUCAAUAAACUUGUCUUUUUAUAUUUGACUGAAUUUUGUUUAAAUCAAAUAAAACAACUUUUAAC
rnacentral:misc_RNA from 1 species